rnacentral:rRNA from 1 species
UUUAAUUCGAAGCAACGUGAAGAACCUUACCAAAUCUUGACAUCCUUUGACCCUUCUAGAGAUAGAAGUUUCCCCUUCGGGGGACAAAGUGACAGGUGGUGCAUGGUUGUCGUCAGCUCGUGUCGUGAGAUGUUGGGUUAAGUCCCGCAACGAGCGCAACCCUUAAGCUUAGUUGCCAUCAUUAAGUUGGGCACUCUAAGUUGACUGCCGGUGACAAACCGGAGGAAGGUGGGGAUGACGUCAAAUCAUCAUGCCCCUUAUGAUUUGGGCUACACACGUGCUACAAUGGACAAUACAAAGGGCAGCGAAACCGCGAGGUCAAGCAAAUCCCAUAAAGUUGUUCUCAGUUCGGAUUGUAGUCUGCAACUCGACUACAUGAAGCUGGAAUCGCUAGUAAUCGUAGAUCAGCAUGCUA